GACGAACGCUGGCGGCGUGCUUAACACAUGCAAGUCGAACGGAAAGGCCCUGCUUUUGUGGGGUGCUCGAGUGGCGAACGGGUGAGUAACACGUGAGUAACCUGCCCUUGACUUUGGGAUAACUUCAGGAAACUGGGGCUAAUACCGGAUAGGAGCUCCUGCUGCAUGGUGGGGGUUGGAAAGUUUCGGCGGGUGGGGAUGGACGCGCGGCUUAUCAGCUUGUUGGUGGGGUAGUGGCUUGCCAAGGCUUUGACGGGUAGCCGGCCUGAGAGGGUGACCGGCCACAUGAGGACUGAGAUACGGCCCAGAGUCCUACGGGAGGCAGCAGUGGGGAGUAUUGCACAAUGGGCGGAAGCCUGAUGCAGCAACGCCGCGUGCGGGAUGACGGCCUUCGGGUUGUAAAACGCUUUCGCCUGUGACGAAGCGUGAGUGACGGUAAUGGGUAAAGAAGCACCGGCUAACUACGUG
rnacentral:rRNA from 1 species